CUGUCCACCUCUUGCAGGAUCAGGAGGUUCAUUCCUCGUAGAUUUGUGUGAAAUCUCUGGAUUCGCUGGAUUCAGCUCUUUGACUCCUGCAGUUUUCGCACUGUUAAUGGCGGGUGGUCUAACAAGACCACAGGGAAAGCGUAAGGUCAGAGUCCACUUGGUGUGCUUGACUGUGUGGAGCUGACCUGAGCAGCCAGAAACCUGUUCUAGUGGACCAUCACAACAGGAGGAGCAUUUCACAGACCCCCUUCAUCGCCACUGUAUAGAAAAAACAGCCAGGACAUUCGACUAAACACCCUUAUUCAUGUAGAAAAUCUUAAAAAUGUGGAAAAAACAUGAGGACAAAUGGACCCUCACCUCACGAGCGGCUUUUAACACAGAUCAAUUCUUGCUUUCCACUUCCAUUAUUGUUGCGUUUUAAGCCUGGAAAGGAUGAAUCUGUGCCCAGAGAUAGAGACAGACGGCUGAGGACAUCUGUCCCACAAUCAUACCUGCCAUUAGCCUCCAAAAACAGCCACAUUUGCACAUUGAAGUACAUCCGAGAUGCUCACUAAUGUCCUUCACACAAAGUGUACAAGUGGUCUCACGCUGAUGAUGUGAUUGUCAUAAUAUCGUUACUGCAGUGGGCAGCAAGAAUGGCCUCUGGCUGAAUGGCAGCUGUCCCCAUAAUCCACUUAUACACCAUAAUGAAGAGCUGUCAGGAGUUUUACAGUCAUUAAUUACUGAAACAUUCAAAGUUCUUGAGAGGUUUU